rnacentral:rRNA from 1 species
CCUGGCCUGUUGCUGACGCUGAGGCACGAAAGCGUGGGGAGCAAAUAGGAUUAGAUACCCUAGUAGUCCACGCCGUAAACGAUGAGGACCAAGUGUUGGGGGUGAAACCUCAGUGCUGAAGUUAACGCAGUGAGUCCUCCGCCUGGGGAGUAUGCACGCAAGUGUGAAACUCAAAGGAAUUGACGGGGGCCCGCACAAGCGGUGGAGUAUGUGGUUUAAUUUGAAGCAACGCGAAGAACCUUACCAGGCCUUGACAUGGGAUGCGAAGACGCAGAGAUGCGUUGGAGGCAAACAUCCACACAGGUGGUGCAUGGUUGUCGUCAGCUCGUGUCGUGAGAUGUUGGGUCAAGUCCCGCAACGAGCGCAACCCUUGUGGCAUGUUGCUAACAGGAAAGCUGAGGACUCAUGCCAGACUGCCGGUGACAAACCGGAGGAAGGCGGGGAUGACGUCAAAUCAUCAUGCCCCUUAUGGCCUGGGCUACACACGUACUACAAUGGCGGCUACAAAGAGCGGCGAGACAGUAAUGUCGAGCGAAUCUCAUAAAAGCCGUCCCAGUUCGGAUUGGAGCCUGCAACCCGGCUCCAUGAAGUUGGAAUCGCUAGUAAUCGCGGAUCAGCAUGCCGCGGUGAAUACGUUCCCGGGCCUUGCACACACCGCCCGUCAA